GCAUGAACGGAGCUAUGAGGUUCUCACUGUCCCAAACUGUCUCUCAGCGAACCAACUGUAGUGGGAACGGUCACUAGAUAUCCAGCGGGGAAAGAAGACCCUGUAGAGCUUCACUUUGGUCUAGUCUUGUAUAGUUCCUGCGGGGGUGUAGACUAGGUGGGAGAGCAAUCGAUUCUGAAAAACCUCUACCCUGUUUGGAAUUAUGCUUACCUAUCACAAGGAAUAGGACUAGAUAGAAAGUUUGGCUGGGGCGGCACACCUUCGAAAGAGCAGCGAAGGUGUCCUAAGUUGAGCUCAGUGAGGACAGAAAUCUCACGUUGAGGAUAAGGCCAAAAGCUCAAUUUACUGUGCCUUUUUGUACUAGGAUCAGUUACGAAAGUAAGGCCUAACGAUCCCUAAAUAGCCUCAGGUGCGUGAGGAUUGGGGUGACAGACAAGUUACCUCCGGGACAACUGGCUUGUGGCUGCUAAGAGAUCAAAUCAACGCAGCUUUUUGAUUCUUCGAUGUCGGCUCUUCCUAUCCUAGUGAUGUACAAGUUGCUAAGGGUCGGAUUGUUCACCCGUAUUAGGGAUCGUGAGCUGGGUUUAGACCGUCGUGAGCCAGGUUUGUUUUAUCCUACUGGAUAUAGCAUCAUGAUAGUAGAUUGAUUUAGUACGAGAGGAACUGUUGAUUAUGGCCUCUGGUUAGCGAUUAUCGGAAACGGUAUGUCGCGCAGCUACGCCGUCUGGGAUAAUGGCUGAAAGCCUCUUAAGCCAGAAGCCCAUCUAGAAAGUGAUGCACGUGAUGUUGGACCGAUACGAAUAAUCAUACUCAAAAGGUCCGCUUCAUAGGUAACCCAAUG
rnacentral:ncRNA from 1 species